UUAUCAUCUUCGUACGUGAUGUUCUGUGAGAGCACUGCAGAUUUUUGUGGCUGACAAAUUAUAUAAUAAAAGGUUAGGUUUGUUUAUCAAUGCAAAUUAUCUAAACAUUCGCCCACUAAUAACAUAAAAAUUAGUGCUGCAUAAUUUAAGGCUUCAAAAAAAUGAGUAUUACCUGUAGGAAUGUGGUGUUUUCGACAAUCAAAUAAUUUAUUUAUUAUAUGCAGUUUAUUGCUACUAGGAGGGUUCAUGUUACAAAUGAAGGUCCUGUAUAAUAAUCAUCAGAAACAAUUGAGGAUAAAUCAGUAUAAAAGAACUAUAAAUGAGUUGGAAGAAUCAAUGACAAUGGUAGAAAAGGUGGCUAAUGAUACAAACGCAUUACUUAAUAAAUUAAAGAGUAUAAUUGAUAAACACGUAGUGCACAAGGUAAAAUACAAACACCGGUAAUGCACAAAAUUUGGAUUAAGUAUAAACAACUGGUUAAUAAAGCUUUAAUGUCAAUUUGUAUAAAAAGGUAAUUUAUAUUUGUAUUAAAAUCUUAUUAUAGCUUUACAAAUUUUUAAUGUAGAUUCUUUUACAUUGUCAGCACUUACUAUACUGUAAUUUAAUGUCCAUUUCUACUCAAAGUGAUAAAGAUGGUGCCAUUUUUGGCUAGGAACUAGUACUUACAUAGAUUGAAAGAAAUAUGGUAUUUGUAAGUUUUUUAAAACAAAUGUCAUGUAUUUUUUAUUUAGAUUUUAUUGUGACAAUAAAUAUCACAAGUUAAAA